GACGAACGCUGGCGGCGUGCCUAAUACAUGCAAGUCGAACGCAUUUUCUUUCACCGUAGCUUGCUACACCGAAAGAAAAUGAGUGGCGAACGGGUGAGUAACACGUUGGUAACCUGCCCAUCAGCGGGGGAUAACACUUGGAAACAGGUGCUAAUACCGCAUAAUUCCAUUUACCGCAUGGUAAAUGGAUGAAAGGCGCUUUUGCGUCACUGAUGGAUGGACCCGCGGUGCAUUAGCUAGUUGGUGGGGUAACGGCCUACCAAGGCUGCGAUGCAUAGCCGACCUGAGAUGGUGAUCGGCCACACUGGGACUGAGACACGGCCCAGACUCCUACGGGAGGCAGCAGUAGGGAAUCUUCGGCAAUGGACGCAAGUCUGACCGAGCAACGCCGCGUGAGUGAAGAAGGUGUUCGGAUCGUAAAACUCUGUUGUUAGAGAAGAACAAGGAUGAGAGUGGAAAGUUCAUCCCUUGACGGUAUCUAACCAGAAAGCCACGGCUAACUACGUG
rnacentral:rRNA from 1 species